rnacentral:rRNA from 1 species
UACAGAGGUCUCAAGCGUUGUUCGGAUUCAUUGGGCGUAAAGGGUGCGUAGGCGGCGCGGUAAGUCGGGUGUGAAAUCUCGGGGCUUAACUCCGAAACUGCAUUCGAUACUGCCGUGCUUGAGGACUGGAGAGGAGACUGGAAUUUACGGUGUAGCGGUGAAAUGCGUAGAUAUCGUAAGGAAGACCAGUGGCGAAGGCGGGUCUCUGGACAGUUCCUGACGCUAAGACGCGAAAGCGUGGGGAGCAAACAGG